ensembl:lncRNA
CAAUGUUUCUGUCAUCAGCUGCUGUUGUUUCCCUUGGCUGACCAGUUCGAUGUCUGGUUGUCAGUACACCAGAGCUUCAAAAUGGCUUGCUUUUCACAGCAAUUAAUUGUUUAAACAACCAAUCUAAAAGGACAUACCUGGACUACAAGAAACACCGCAUGACAAUGUUCCUGUACACAAAUUGAGCUCCAUGAAGACACAGUCUGUUAAGGUUGGAGUUUAAGAACUCAAGUGUCCUGCACAGACCCGACUGCACCCCAGACCUCCUCACCCUUGCCUGAUCUCACUAAUGCUCUUGUAGCUGAAUGAAUACAAAUCCCCACAGCCAUGCUCCAAAAUCUAGUGGAAAGCCUUCUCAGAAGAGUGGAGCUUAUUAUAACAGCAAAGGGGGAUUAAAUCUGGAAUGAGAUUUUCAACAAGCACAUAUGGGUGUGAAGGUCAGGUGAACACAGACUUUUGGUCAUAUAGUGUAUCUUAAUAGCUCAAUUAGUUAGUAAUAUAAGCACCAUUACAACAAACACACAUGAUGAUGUGAAAAAUGUAGAAAUGUGAGACUAAAACAUCUUAAUUUCACCAUGUUUCCCUCAGGUGACCUGAAUGUAAUCUUUGACUUUUAAACUGAUUUUUGUGGUCAGUUAGAGAAAUAAA